rnacentral:rRNA from 1 species
AUUGAACGCUGGCGGCAGGCCUAACACAUGCAAGUCGAGCGAGCGGCGGACGGGUGAGUAAUGUAUGGGGACUGCCCGAUAGAGGGGGAUAACACCUGGAAACGCUAGCUAUUACCGCAUCAUACCGGAGAAUCCACAUGGGAUUAGCUAGUAGGUGGGGUAAUGGCUCUCCCAGGCGACGCUCCCUAGCUGGUCUGAGAGGAUGAUCAGCCAAACUGGAACUGAGACACGGCCCAGACUCCUACGGAGGCAGCAGUGGGGAAUAUUGAACAAUGGGCGCAAGCCUGAUGCAGCCAUGCCGCGUGUAUGAAGAAGGCCCUAGGGUUGUAAAGUACUUUCAGUCGGGAGGCGUUACCGACAGAAGAAGCACCGGCUAACUCCGUGCCAGCAGCCGCGGUAAUAC